rnacentral:rRNA from 1 species
AUUGAACGCUGGCGGCAGGCUUAACACAUGCAAGUCGAGCGAGCGGCGGACGGGUGAGUAAUGUCUGGGAAACUGCCUGAUGGAGGGGGAUAACUACUGGAAACGGUAGCUAUUACCGCAUAGCAUCAGAGGUGCGCAGAGGGGAUUAGCUAGUAGGUGGGGUAAUGGCUCACCUAGGCGACGAUCCCUGGGUGGUCUGCGAGGAUGACCAGCCACCCUGUAACGGUGACACGGUCCAAACUCCUACGGUGGGCGGCAGUGGGUCAUAUUGCGCAAUGGGAGCAAGCGUGAUGCAACCAUGCCGCGUGUGUGAGGAAGGCCUUCGGGUUUUAGGGCACUUUCAGCGAGGAGGCGUUACUCGCAGAAGAAGCACCGGCUAACUCCGUGCCAGCAGCCGCGGUAAUUC